GACGAACGCUGGCGGCGUGCUUAACACAUGCAAGUCGAACGGUGAACCUCUUCGGAGGGGAUCAGUGGCGAACGGGUGAGUAACACGUGGGCAACCUGCCCCCGGCUCUGGGAUAACUCCAAGAAAUUGGGGCUAAUACCGGAUGUUCACCGCUUCCCGCAUGGGUGGUGGUGGAAAGGGUUUCCGGCUGGGGAUGGGCCCGCGGCCUAUCAGCUUGUUGGUGGGGUAGUGGCCUACCAAGGCGACGACGGGUAGCCGGCCUGAGAGGGUGACCGGCCACACUGGUACUGAGACACGGCCCAGACUCCUACGGGAGGCAGCAGUGGGGAAUAUUGCGCAGUGGGCGGAAGCCUGACGCAGCGACGCCGCGUGGGGGAUGACGGCCUUCGGGUUGGAAACCUCUUUCAGCAGGGACGAAGCGCAAGUGACGGUACCUGCAGAAGAAGCACCGGCCAACUACGUG
rnacentral:rRNA from 1 species